rnacentral:tRNA from 1 species
UGGGAUGUAGCUCAUUUGGUGGAGUGCUUGCAUUGCAUGCACAAGGCCCUGGGUUGAUCCCCAGCAUCCCCU